UGGGGAAUCUUGGGCAAUGGGGGAAACCCUGACCCAGCGACGCCGUGUGGGGGAUGAAGGCUUUCGGGUUGUAAACCCCUGUUAGGUGGGACGAAUGCUCUUUCAUAAAUAGUGAAAGGGUUUGACGGUACCACCAGAGAAAGCCCCGGCUAACUCCGUGCCAGCAGCCGCGGUAAUACGGAGGGGGCGAGUGUUGUUCGGAAUUACUGGGCGUAAAGGGCGCGCAGGCGGCUUGGCAAGUCAAGUGUGAAAUCCCUCAGCUUAACUGAGGAAUUGCGCUUGAAACUACCUCGCUAGAGGACGGGAGAGGGAAGUGGAACUCUCGGUGUAGGGGUGAAAUCUGUAGAUAUCGAGAGGAACACCGGUGGCGAAGGCGGCUUCCUGGCCCGUAUCUGACGCUGAGGCGCGAAAGCGUGGGGAGCAAACAGG
rnacentral:rRNA from 1 species